CCCUUAGAUGUCCUGGGCUGCACGCGCGCUACACUGAUGUGUCCAGUAAGCACCUAACCUCUUCCGAAAGGAACGGGUAACCUUUGCAAAGCACAUCGUGAUGGGGAUAGAUUAUUGCAAUUAUUAGUCUUGAACGAGGAAUUCCUAGUAAGCGCGAGUCAUCAGCUCGCGUUGACUACGUCCCUGCCCUUUGUACACACCGCCCGUCGCUCCUACCGAUUGAAUGGUCCGGUGAAGUGUUCGGAUCGCGCCGACGUGGGCGGUUCGCCGCCGGCGACGUCGCGAGAAGUCCACUGAACCUUAUCAUUUAGAGGAAGGAGAAGUCGUAACA
rnacentral:rRNA from 1 species